UCUUCAGCUAGAUCCCAGGAGAGGGAGGAGGAUAUAGGAUUAAGAGGCCUGAAUUUGGAAUCAGGAAAACCUCGUCUAUUAAUCCUGACUCAGAGACCUUUCCACUUCUGUGGUUCUGGACAAAUCUCGUGACUGCCCUAAAUCUUGAUUUUCUCAUCUGUAAAAUGGCUGGAGCUGUUUAAGAACCUUGGGAGCUACUCAGAGGACAGAUCCUGCAGGCCUUUCGGGCGAUCCCCUUGUUUCUGAGGGAGAUUCCUGGUGUCUGGUAACCCUCUAGUCUUGGCAAGAAGGAGGAGUCCUGGUUUCAGGAGGAAAGUAAUGCCUGCCUAGGGCUGAAGCAGAUGAUCUAACUAGGUUCCAGAACUCCACAACUUGCCCUAGGCAAUCCACCCAUGGAUAAUGAAGAGUUGCCUCUACUUUACAUCAUAAACUUAGUUACGUGAUCACAAUCUUAGAGACCCGACCUAUUCCCUGGGAAUGUUCACUUCCUUCUCUGCCAAUUUCUUGUGGUUUCUCUAUUGCCACUGAAACACCACUUGGCACCUUUUUCUUCUGUCCUUUUCCUGCGGAUUUCUCAGUACCUGUCAGCUUCCCACACUCCAAGGAUGGAAGGAAGUGCUGCUAACCUACAAACACAGAAAAGCAGAGCCCAGAGGGACUUUAGAUCAUAGGAGAUAGAAUGAGAAGAGAACUUGAAGCACAGAAUGACAACAUGGAGAGCUGGAGCCAGAAGGGAACUUGGAACCAGAAAAUGUUAGAUCUCUAAGAAUGUGGAAUGUCAUCGAUGGAGAGUCCCCAGCUCUCCAAGACACUGAACACACAAGCUCCUCCGGAAAGAAGCAGAGUCGGCAUCAUAAGGAAGGCAAACAGCUGGGGAAUUCCUUUCCCAGCACUCUUUGGGGAGAAGUGCUGGAGGCUGCCUGCAUAACGUUAUCCUCUGCUUGGCAGGAUCUGAGCUCAGGACCUGAGCACACGGAUUCCCGGCUGUCUUUUGGAUGCAAACAGAGUUUCCAAUGUAGAAAACAUCUUGCUGUGGGGAGAAGGUCAGGCUUGCUCUUACCUCCUCCCUGACACAACCCCAACUUGAAGGCGGGAGAGCUGGGUCUUUUCCUGUUUCCCCAUGGUUUCCAGAAUUCCAGAUCUGGGCUCUUUCCCAGAAGACUCCAUAGGCUCCAUUUCAGCCUCCUUGGACAGCACUGUAAAUUGCUAAUUAUGCUAUGGUUGAUGGCCCACAUGACUGGGAAUUAGAUCUGAAUUCUCAUCACAGAUCUGCCACCUCCUACAUGACACCUGUCCCGAUUCUUUUUCUUUUAAAUUUAAUUUUUAUCAUCAUGUAAAACACACUUGCAUAUUGGUCAUCGUGGAAAAAGCACACUCAUUCUGAAAGCCCAAAAUAAAAGU
rnacentral:lncRNA from 1 species